GACGAACGCUGGCGGCGUGCCUAAUACAUGCAAGUCGAACGCAGUGGGGACGGGUGAGUAACACGUGGGUAACCUCCCCAUCAGAGUGGAUAACACUAGGAAACCUGUGCUAAACCGAUACUGAUGGAUGAACCCGCGGUGCAUUAGCUAGUUGGUGAGGUAACGGCUCACCAAGGCCACGAGGCAUAGCCGACCUGAGAGGGUGAGCGGCCACACUGGGACUGAGACACGGCCCAGACUCCUACGGGAGGAAGCAUGAGGGAAUCUUCGGCAAUGGACGAAAGUCUGACAGAGCAACGCCGCGUGAGUGAAGAAGGUUUUCGGAUCGUAAAACUCUGUUGUUAGAGAAGCGGUAUCUAACCAGAAAGCCACGGCUAACUACGUGCCAGCAGCCGCGGUAAUUC
rnacentral:rRNA from 1 species